CCUACGGGAGGCAGCAGUGGGGAAUAUUGCACAAUGGGGGAAACCCUGAUGCAGCGACGCCGCGUGAGUGAAGAAGGAUUUCGGGACGUAAAGCUCUAUCAGCAGGGAAGAAAAUGACGGUACCUGACUAAGAAGCCCCGGCUAACGACGUGCCAGCAGCCGCGGUAAUACGUAGGGGGCAAGCGGUAUCCGGAUUUACUGGGUGUAAAGGGAGCGUAGACGGCAGCGCAAGUCUGGAGUGAAAUCCCAUGGCUUAACCAUGGAACUGCUUUGGAAACUGUGCAGCUAGAGUGCAGGAGAGGUAAGCGGACUUCCUAGUGUAGCGGUGCACUGCGUAGAUAUUAGGAGGCACCCCAGUGGCGAAGGCGGCUUACUGGACUGUACCUGACGUUGAGGCUCGACAGCGUGGGGAGCAAACAGGAUUAGAUACCCCAGUAGUC
rnacentral:rRNA from 1 species